ensembl:lncRNA
GGAAGUGGAGUGGAAGGCGGGCCUUGACCUGGUGAGGAGUCGGCUGCCUGCUUCUCUGAGGGUCCUUCUGUGGGGACCGGGACCCCAGGGGCAGGGAGCUGCCUAGGAAGAGGCGGAGCCAAGUCGGGGGCAGUUGCAGGAGGUCUGGAGGGUUCUGAGAGCCGCCAUGGCGGGGGCAGUUGUCAGUUACUCUAGUUACGUCCCUCCGGGGGUCCCUAAGCCUCCUAUAAAAUCCUGCGAAACCGUCCAGCCCCGUCUCAGCUGGGCUGGGGCCUGUGUUCAGGGUUAGGUCAGAGAGUGAGAGGAGCGGCAGGGGGGUGAUGACAGCAGGGAGACGCUCUCGGGAGAGGGGAGUGUCAGAGCCAAGCCUGCCACGGCCGGCCGCAUCCUUACGGGCAGCCUGGAGGAGCGGGGUGAGAAUCGGAUGAGGACGCUGUGGGGAGACACAGCCACCCACGUGACCGCAUCCCUGCAGACAAUGCCUUUCCCGACUCAGUGUGUCUGGGCUUGUGCGCCACAGCGGGCACUGGGGCCAGAGGUUCGAGUGAGGGCAGAGGGAGCCUCCGGAGGGUCAAGAGACUCAGUCCUGCAAUAGCCAAGUUCAAAUCUCGGGAGGACCAAGCUCAGAAGCUCUAUUCCCCGAAUUUCAUUCUGUCUGUCUGCUGCUUAGUCGCUCAGUUGUAUCCGACCCUUUGUGACCCUGUGGACUGUAGCCUGCCAGGCUCCUCUGUCCAUGGGGAUUUUGCAGCCUGCUUCUCACUGUCUCCAGCUUUGCUGUUAUUCAUCUGCCCUGUUUUGCUCUGAGC